rnacentral:rRNA from 1 species
UUCCGGUUGAUCCUGCCGGAGGUCACUGCUAUCGGGGUUCGAUUAAGCCAUGCGAGUCGAGAGGGUUCAGACCCUCGGCGGACUGCUCAGUAACACGUGGAUAAUCUGCCCUAUGGUGGAGGAUAACCCCGGGAAACUGGGGAUAAUACUCCAUAAGUCAGGAGUACUGGAAUGUCUCCUAACUGAAAGUUUCGGCGCCAUAGGAUGAAUCUGCGGCCGAUUAGGUAGUUGUUGGGGUAACGGCCCAACAAGCCCGUAAUCGGUACGGGUUGUGGGAGCAAGAGCCCGGAGAUGGAAUCUGAGACACGAUUCCAGGCCCUACGGGGCGCAGCAGGCGCGAAAACUUUACAAUGCAGGAAACUGUGAUAAGGGAACCCCGAGUGCCCGUACACGCGGGCUGUCCCGGUGUUUAAAACACAUCGGAAGAAAGGGCCGGGCAAGACCGGUGCCAGCCGCCGCGGUAAUACCGGCGGCUCGAGUGGUGACCACUUUUAUUGGGCUUAAAGCGUUCGUAGCUUGAUUUUUAAGUCUCUUGGGAAAUCUCACGGCUUAACUGUGAGGCGUCUAAGAGAUACUGGGAAUCUAGGGACCGGGAGAGGUAAGAGGUACUUCAGGGGUAGAAGUGAAAUUCUGUAAUCCUUGAGGGACCACCGAUGGCGAAGGCAUCUUACCAGCACGGCUUCGACAGUGAGGAACGAAAGCUGGGGGAGCGAACGGGAUUAGAUACCCCGGUAGUCCCAGCCGUAAACUAUGCGCGUUAGGUGUGCCUGUAACUACGAGUUACCGGGGUGCCGAAGUGAAAACGUGAAACGUGCCGCCUGGGAAGUACGGUCGUCAAGGCUGAAACUUAAAGGAAUUGGGCGGGGGAGCACCACGACGGGUGGAGCCUGCGGUUUAAUUGGAUUCCACGCCGGG